CGUCGUGAGGCGGAAUCUGAAGGAAGCCGGCGGCAAACCUCUGGCCUGACGGACAGAAAUCGCAUAGAGGCUACUAUUGGGGAUAAGGCCGCAGUACAGGUCGAAGUCCAAUAGCUACACGGAACCAACGGUAGUAAAUGCGGCAGGUAGAUGGAGGGAAGGGUAU
rnacentral:ncRNA from 1 species